GCCAGGCCUGGUGGUGCACACCUGUAAUCCCAGCGGCUUGGGAGGCUGAGGCAGGAGGAUCAAAAGUUCAAAGCCAGCUUCAGCAACUCAGUGAGGGCCUAAGUAACCCAGUGAGACCCUGUCUCUA
rnacentral:sRNA from 1 species